CGCUCCCGCACUCUCCUCCCCUCCUGCCUCUUCUCUUCCCCACCUACUCCUGCUGUCGCCGCCGCCGCCGCCUCCGCUCCUGCUGUCGCCGCAUCGCCGCCCCAAACCCCUGCCGCAUCGGAGAGAAAUCCAUGGCGGUGGACAAGCCCGGCGGCGGCGGGGCCUCCUCCUCCUCGCACGCGUCCACCACGGACCGACCGCGUCAGCAAGAGGAGAGGAGCAGCAGCCGCAGCGCGUCCUCAGUCCGACCUCGACAAGAGAAGGGGAGCAGCAGUCCGACCUCGUCGCCACCUCUCCUCACCUUCUCCCAGGUUCCUGAUCUGGAGUGGGAGGGACGCACGCCGGCGAGGCCAGGCUACCCUUGACACGCAUAUGUAGAAUGUUCUCACUAUCAACUCUGGAAUAACUAGCAAGUAGUGGUGUCAAUGGCAUCCGUGGGAGUCAUUUUGGUGGCACAUGGACAUCACGUUCUGGAAUAAAGCCAUGGAACAAUAAAUAACUUGGCAACGGAUACCCUGUGGUCUACAAUUAUACUGUAAUUAUGUGUGCACUUUGGAUCUAUUGGAUGUCUGGAUGUAUUGUUAAUCGACAACUACUGAUGCAAAGGAGAUGUGUGUCGAGAGGCACAUGAAUACGCACGUGGGCUGUUUUUCAGCAUGGUAGUCUAAAAAACUGUGGUAUUCUCAGAAAAUGCUUUGCUAUCAAACAGGGCAAGUGCAGAUUUCCUUGAAUAUAGUUUAUUUUACAAUUGUGUUGCCAACGUGCUUCCUGUUUUAUCACCAUCAAAUAGUUCUAGGUGCUCAUAUAAAAUUUAGUGGCGUGUAUAAGUGAUUGUAGUGCAGUUUUGUUGAUCUGCUUGCAUUUUCAGCAUUAUAGUGUUGAUAUACUAUCUCAAUAAAACAGUGAAUACGUAUAAUAUGUACAAGCUACAUUCAAGUUAUGGCAAUGUGCCUGGGUAAGACGAACUGGUAAUCUUCUGCUAGCUGAAAAAAACUUGUUUCGUCUUUAUAUGUGUUUCUUGUUGAAACUCUUUUUCGUCUUUGCAUGUGUUUCUUGCUGAAGCUCGUGAUUUUCAAGUUAUGGCAGUACAUAUGUCUACCCACUUGCAUGACUUCCGAUAUUGUCCUUAUUUUGCUCCUCCUUAGCCUUGUUCUGUUAGUGCAGUUCUUUUAAAUAGCAGGGACAGAGUCCCAGAAAACAUGCCUGAUUGCUUUUCUUAGUGGUGCACUUGCAAGUAUAUGUGGUCGUUUCUGUUAGUUUCUCAUGCUUUUCUACAAAGUGAUAGGUUAAUAAUGUCAUCAACAAUUUUUUCCUUAACUGAUCAAUAUCUUAGAAGUUGUCACUCAUUAGUUUUCUUUUCCUUAUCUGAUCUCUAGCGAGUAGAGUGAUUUAUUUUCGCAAUACCUAAUUCUGAUCAUAGGUAAUGAAAGAUUUGUUUUCAUUAAAUGAGAUUCUUGUUUUGUGUUGAUUUUGCAAAAUUUCUGUAGCUACAUAUUUUCUCAAUCCAAUAGACACAUUUUAAUCAACCUUUAGUAUAAUGUUAAUAAUAUGCUUUUAGAAAAAGGGAGAUGCCAUUUAGACCUUACUCUGUCUAACUUGAUCUUCAACUUGCCGCUACUGUUUCUAAGCAUUUUCCCGAAAACUGUUGUAUUUGCUUUAGAGAAUGAGCUCACCUUACUCAGAAGAUAUGCCAAGUAAAAAAUUAGAAAUUGAACAAUUAGUUCCGCUCUUAAAUUUUGCACAACAGUCCAAAUUAUCCAAUAAAUUAUGUGUUAGCAGGGUCAGAUUAUAGAAGUUGAAUCACUUGUUCUAAAUUACCCAAUCCAAAUUAUGGAUGUUAAUAAUAUGCUUUCUGUUAGACUAUUAGUCAAAUUGUUGAAAGCCGGAGCAGGGUCAAGGAGCCGGCCUCCGCCUUUGGCCAUUACGUGAGAAGCAACACCGGUGUUGGCCGUUACCGUGUGCAGAGUGCGUGAGUUAGUGAUUUAAUUCCAUCCUUUCCAUCUCAUGAUGUGAUUUUUCCUUUAGGAUGAAUUAGUAACUUUGUGUGGAGGUGGCACCACUACCUGCUGGUUGGUGUAAUGCCGUGCUUGACAGGGUGAUCUGCAAUUCCGAGUUUGUUUAAUGGCUUAAUGUCUAAGCACUCAUCCCCUUAUUCUGUUGUGUUGCUACCAACUUGGUUUGCAAGGAACAGAGCUUCAUCUGUGUACAUCAAGAUUGCUAAUUGCCAUUUGAAGGGUGAUAGUAAGCAUGAAGAUGCCUAAGCUUAUGAGGAAGUUGCAAACUGCGACCAAAAAUUCUCACUUCAGGGUACUCUCUUUCGAUCUCGACUCAGAGAGGAAACGAGGCAGCCACGGCCUCCUGCCCCCACCGUUCUCUCCCUCUCUCCCGUGCCUUCGCGUUGCCGUAGUACUCCCGCGCUGCACACUGCUGCUGCUCCCCAACCACGGCGCUCUGAUGGUGCUUGCUCGCCUGGUCGCCGCCUCGUCUCGCCCGAUCUUGAUAUCGUCCGGGGCAGCGCCGGCACCGCUCGACCGCGUCGUUGCCUCCUCUGCGUCAUGAGAAGCGCCACCAUUGCCUCCACCCCCACUGGGCAAGGAGCUCGAGGUGUUUGGGGGUUCAUGUUUCCUACACAGGCCAAAACACUAUUGGAGUUUGAAACCAGUCGUUUGGAGCAGAUCAGCUCAAAAGAGAUCCUUUGUACCAUUUGCAGACUACCCACCUUCCUCUGGAGAUUGACAGGCCUGGAGUCUCGCUCGCCUCUGUUUUCCCCCUAUGGACACACAUGAGACUCAGAUCUUGGCUCGUCGUAGAGGAAUCGAUAGCAAGAAUCAACCAGAGAAAGGAUGUACACAAGGUGUUUAAAUAUUUACUUUGUUCCGGCGCCUACUUUGGAUCAUAGGAAACUAAAAAAAGAGGGCGCCGCCACCACCGUCAUCAGGCUGGCCCACAUCCACGCGCUGCUCGGCGUCACCAGGUCACCGGCACAACUCCUCACGCCCAGGUCGUUCAACAUUUCCGGCCGCUUUUGGUGCGCCACAUUUAGAGUCUUUCUUUCCCAUUUUACCGUGUUUGCAUGGUAAGAUGUUUGGUCGGAUUUGAAGGUUCGUAGCCUUGACUCCAAAGCUUCAAGCUCUUAUAGAAAUUAGAACUGAGGGCCUUUUAAAAUGAGUCCUGCAUAAUAGUGUUGUUCAGUGGGAUGCAGGAUUUUUUUUUGUCUGAUCGGCUAUCAUUGUUGCUGAUUUAAGUACUGAUUCAUCAUCAUAUGACCACAAUAAAGAAGCUGUGUGUAUAAAUAUUACUAACUGCUGAUACUUUGCAUCAGUGAUUUCAAUUCUGUUGGCCCUCCUUAAGAUUGCUUGGGAAUGUGAGGCUUAAAAGUUUCAACC